AGUGAACGCUGGCGGUAGGCCUAACACAUGCAAGUCGAACGGCAGCACAGUAAGAGCUUGCUCUUACGGGUGGCGAGUGGCGGACGGGUGAGGAAUACAUCGGAAUCUACUUUUUCGGGUGGGAUAACGUAGGUAAACUUACGCUAAUAUCGCAUACGACCUACGGGGGAAAGCAGUGGAUCUUCGGACCUUGCGCGAUUGAAUGAGCCGAUGUCGGAUUAGCUAGUUGGCGGGGUAAAGGCCCACCAAGGCGCGGAUCCGUAGCUGGUGUGGGUGGAUGGUAGCCCACACUGGAACUGGAACACGCUCAAGGCUCCUACGGGAGGCAGCAGUGGGGAACAUUGGACAACGGGGGCAAGCAUGAUCCAGUCAUCCCGCGUGGGUGACGAAGGCCUUCGGGUUGUAAAGCCCUUUUGUUGGGAAAGAAAAGCAGCAGGUUAAUACCACGCUGUUCUGACGGUACCCAAAGAAUAAGCACCGGCUAACUUCGUG
rnacentral:rRNA from 1 species